CAGGGUAGUCUAGUGGUUAGAGUGUAGAGGGGGCAGGUAGCCUAGUGGUUAGAGUGUAGAGGAGGCAGGUAGCCUAGUGGUUAGAGUGUAGAGGAGGCAGGUAGCCUAGUGGUUAGAGUGUAGAGGAGGCAGGUAGCCUAGUGGUUAGAGUGGAGGGGCGGCAGGGUAGUCUAGUGGUUAGAGUGUAGAGGCGGCAGGGUAGUCUAGUGGUUAGAGUGGAGGGGCGGCAGGGUAGCCUAGUGGUUAGAGUGUAGAGGAGGCAGGUAGUCUAGUGGUUAGAGUGUAGAGGAGGCAGGUAGUCUAGUGGUUAGAGUGGAGGGGCGGCAGGGUAGCCUAGUGGUUAGAGUGUAGAGGAGGCAGGUAGUCUAGUGGUUAGAGUGUAGAGGGGGCAGGGUAGUCUAGUGGUUAGAGUGGAGGGGCGGCAGGGUAGCCUAGUGGUUAGAGUGUAGGGGCGGCAGGGUAGCCUAGUGGUUAGAGUGUAGAGGAGGCAGGUAGUCUAGUGGUUAGAGUGUAGAGGAGGCAGGUAGUCUAGUGGUUAGAGUGGAGGGGCGGCAGGGUAGCCUAGUGGUUAGAGUGUAGAGGAGGCAGGUAGUCUAGUGGUUAGAGUGUAGAGGAGGCAGGUAGCCUAGUGGUUAGAGUGUAGAGGAGGCAGGUAGUCUAGUGGUUAGAGUGUAGAGGAGGCAGGUAGCCUAGUGGUUAGAGUGUAGAGGAGGCAGGUAGUCUAGUGGUUAGAGUGUAGAGGAGGCAGGUAGUCUAGUGGUUAGAGUGUAGAGGAGGCAGGUAGUCUAGUGGUUAGAGUGUAGAGGCGGCAGGGUAGUCUCGUGGUUAGAGUGGAGGGGCGGCAGGGUAGUCUAGUGGUUAGAGUGUAGAGGAGGCAGGUAGCCUAGUGGUUAGAGUGUAGAGGAGGCAGGUAGUCUAGUGGUUAGAGUGUAGAGGAGGCAGGUAGUCUAGUGGUUAGAGUGUAGAGGAGGCAGGUAGUCUAGUGGUUAGAGUGUAGAGGAGGCAGGUAGUCUAGUGGUUAGAGUGUAGAGGAGGCAGGUAGCCUAGUGGUUAGAGUGUAGAGGAGGCAGGUAGUCUAGUGGUUAGAGUGUAGAGGAGGCAGGUAGUCUAGUGGUUAGAGUGUAGAGGAGGCAGGGUAGCCUAGUGGUUAGAGUGUAGAGGCGGCAGGGUAGUCUAGUGGUUAGAGUGUAGAGGCGGCAGGGUAGCCUAGUGGUUAGAGUGUAGAGGAGGCAGGUAGCCUAGUGGUUAGAGUGGAGGGGCGGCAGGGUAGUCUAGUGGUUAGAGUGGAGGGGAGGCAGGUAGUCUAGUGGUUAGAGUGUAGAGGAGGCAGGUAGUCUAGUGGUUAGAGUGUAGAGGCGGCAGGGUAGCCUAGUGGUUAGAGUCGAGGGGCGGCAGGGUAGUCUAGUGGUUAGAGUGUAGAGGCGGCAGGGUAGCCUAGUGGUUAGAGUGUAGAGGAGGCAGGUAGCCUAGUGGUUAGAGUGUAGAGGCAGCAGGGUAGCCUAGUGGUUAGAGUGUAGAGGCAGCAGGGUAGCCUAGUGGUUAGAGUGUAGAGGCAGCAGGGUAGCCUAGUGGUUAGAGUGUAGAGGAGGCAGGGUAGCCUAGUGGUUAGAGUGUAGAGGCAGCAGGGUAGCCUAGUGGUUAGAGUGUAGAGGAGGCAGGGUAGCCUAGUGGUUAGAGUGUAGAGGCAGCAGGGUAGCCUAGUGGUUAGAGUAUAGAGGCGGCAGGGUAGCCUAGUGGUUAGAGUGUAGAGGUGGCAGGGUAGCCUAGUGGUUAGAGUGUAGAGGCGGCAGGGUAGUCUAGUGGUUAGAGUGGAGGGGAGGCAGGUAGUCUAGUGGUUAGAGUGUAGAGGAGGCAGGUAGUCUAGUGGUUAGAGUGUAGAGGCGGCAGGGUAGCCUAGUGGUUAGAGUCGAGGGGCGGCAGGGUAGUCUAGUGGUUAGAGUGUAGAGGCGGCAGGGUAGCCUAGUGGUUAGAGUGUAGAGGAGGCAGGUAGCCUAGUGGUUAGAGUGUAGAGGCAGCAGGGUAGCCUAGUGGUUAGAGUGUAGAGGCAGCAGGGUAGCCUAGUGGUUAGAGUGUAGAGGCAGCAGGGUAGCCUAGUGGUUAGAGUGUAGAGGAGGCAGGGUAGCCUAGUGGUUAGAGUGUAGAGGCAGCAGGGUAGCCUAGUGGUUAGAGUGUAGAGGAGGCAGGGUAGCCUAGUGGUUAGAGUGUAGAGGCAGCAGGGUAGCCUAGUGGUUAGAGUAUAGAGGCGGCAGGGUAGCCUAGUGGUUAGAGUGUAGAGGUGGCAGGGUAGCCUAGUGGUUAGAGUG